AAUACUUUUUUGGAUAUUAGUAUAAAAUUUGUGUAUUGAUAUAUGUAAUUUUUAUUUUUAUCAUAUUAACAUUUUAAUUUUUAUUCAUAGGGAAAAAUGGGACUGAGCCCAGUUCAGAGUCUUCGGAGUUUUGCGAGUAAUCAACCUCCCCUUUUAGUGUUUACGGUAUGUUUGAUGGCUUUUGGAAUUACUACGGUAGUUCUUGCUUACGUAAUAGGUGAAAAUGAUUUUCCAAAUCCAGAUAUUACAAUGAUCCAGUCAUAAGAUAGUUCCCACAAUCCCACAUGCUUGAGAAAAAACAAGAUGGCUGCAGAACAAGUGUCAGGCUAUCAACAGAGAAAUAAAAAAGAUAUUUGGAGAGAUGAUGAGAUCUGGCUAUUCUUGGAUAUAUAGCAAAAAAAAGCUGGGUUCUUCUCAAGCAGACUGCCUGUGCGAACAGCUCAAUGUACAAGUAGUGACAGUUACAAUUAAGAUUGUGAGUAAAUCAAGAUCAAAGUGAGUCGUGGAUUGUGUGCAAACCAGGGCUGUGGUAUCAGUAGAUUUUUAUAUGACUUCGACUCUGACCAGGGGCAGAAUUGUUAACAAAAUAGGCCCGAAAAUUCUGACAUCAUUACAUGACCUCAGAAUAUAAGCUUCAAUAAAUAUAGUUCUAAUAAAGAUAGAACAUAGAAACAUUUUUAUUCCAAAGCUAAAAGUAAGUAAUGACAUAGUCAAUAUAUAAAUAUGUAUUCAUUAAUUUUUACUUUUCCAGCUGUUAUAUAUGAGGGCGGUUUUUUCCCAACCUCCAAUAGUCCAUAAAACAAAGACAAGUGGGAAUAACAAAAUGAAUUUAUUAUCAAAAGUUAGGUACAAACAUGGUUACUAUUCAACAUAAUCACUGUGAAGAUUAAUCCUUUGCUUCUGCCAUCUUGUUUACGUUUAUCUUGUGUUCCCUCCUAAGGCAAUAUAGGUCAGUCAGGCGAUAUUAUUUUAAAAAUUCACCAAAAAUCAAAUUACAGUAGAGCCUCAAACUCAGC